rnacentral:rRNA from 1 species
GCUCAGGAUGAACGCUGGCGGCGUGCCUAAUACAUGCAAGUCGAGCGGAUUGUUGAGUUUACUCAACAAUCAGCGGCGGACGGGUGAGUAACACGUGGGCAACCUGCCUAUAAGACUGGGAUAACUUCGGGAAACCGGAGCUAAUACCGGAUAUGUUCUUCUCUCGCAUGAGAGAAGAUGGAAAGACGGUUUCGGCUGUCACUUAUAGAUGGGCCCGCGGCGCAUUAGCUAGUUGGUGAGGUAAUGGCUCACCAAGGCAACGAUGCGUAGCCGACCUGAGAGGGUGAUCGGCCACACUGGGACUGAGACACGGCCCAGACUCCUACGGGAGGCAGCAGUAGGGAAUCUUCCGCAAUGGACGAAAGUCUGACGGAGCAACGCCGCGUGAACGAUGAAGGCUUUCGGGUCGUAAAGUUCUGUUGUUAGGGAAGAACAAGUACCAGAGUAACUGCUGGUACCUUGACGGUACCUAACCAGAAAGCCACGGCUAACUACGUGCCAGCAGCCGCGGUAAUACGUAGGUGGCAAGCGUUAUCCGGAAUUAUUGGGCGUAAAGCGCGCGCAGGUGGUUCCUUAAGUCUGAUGUGAAAGCCCCCGGCUCAACCGGGGAGGGUCAUUGGAAACUGGGGAACUUGAGUGUAGAAGAGGAAAGUGGAAUUCCACGUGUAGCGGUGAAAUGCGUAGAGAUGUGGAGGAACACCAGUGGCGAAGGCGACUUUCUGGUCUAUAACUGACACUGAGGCGCGAAAGCGUGGGGAGCAAACAGGAUUAGAUACCCUGGUAGUCCACGCCGUAAACGAUGAGUGCUAAGUGUUAGAGGGUUUCCGCCCUUUAGUGCUGCAGCUAACGCAUU